CUUCUUAAGAAACUUAAUUUAAUACAAAACCAACCUCUCCCCCUCCUCCCCCUUUACGCCUCUUGAUCUAAGCCCUAACCCUAGUUUUGCUCCUCGGUUCUUUUCCUUAAUGGCUUCUCCCAGUUAACUUCUUCGUCACCGGUGGUCCUCUUCACAAAUCCAAGCUCAAUCCCAAACUGCGGCACGGCGCUCCUUUUUCUCUGCUUCUUGUGCUUGCUUUCGGCAAAAUUAAGCUCCAAUUCAGACAAUGGAUCCAAAGAGAUUACCAUCGAUACUAGUAUAAUCCCUUACCAGUGUUUUUUAAUUGAAGCACCAUCCACUAUCUUUUUUCUGACAAUAAUGUGCUAAUAUGUAUACCAUGCUAUCUAAGUUUUAUCAUGUAGUAUUAGUGGAUCUUAUUGUUUUUGAGACAUAUCUGUAUUUGAUGAAGCAAAAUUAGUUAUUCGAUCACUUAGCCGCUGAAGCAAAAUUAGGUGGGCCGAUGCAUUAUCGGUGGAUGUACCCUAUCAAGAGGUGAUUGCGGAAUUAGCAAAGAGUGGUGAGAUUCAAGCUACUGUCCCGUUGCAUCCAUUACUUGAGAGAUUAUGGCUAAGCUGAAAAGAUUGAGAAAGAUAGUUGAAGACAAUAAUUCCCAAACUAGUGAAGAUGAUGCUACACAUUUCUCAAGAUUAAAUUCUUUGCAAGCUGCCUCAAAGCCUACUUCAUCACACAUGGAAUCCUCACAAUCUGAAUUUUCACAAACUCAACCUCAAGUUCAAGAAUCAGCUGAAACGGAGUAUAUAAAUGCAGUGGAGAUAAUUGGUAACUC